UCUAGCCUUAGCUCAGUCGGUAGAGCACGAGACUGUUAAACUGGGGGUCGUGGGUUCGAGUACCACGUUCGCG
rnacentral:tRNA from 1 species